UACGGAGGGAGCUAGCGUUGUUCGGAAUUACUGGGCGUAAAGCGCACGUAGGCGGCUUUUUAAGUCAGGGUGAAAUCCCGGGCUCAACCCCGGAACUGCCCUUGAAACUGGAGAGCUAGAAUCUUGGAGAGGCGAGUGGAAUUCCGAGUGUAGAGGUGAAAUUCGUAGAUAUCGGGAGGAACACCAGUGGCGAAGGCGGCGACCUGGGCCAAUACUGACGCUGAGGUGCGAAGCGUGG
rnacentral:rRNA from 1 species